AGAGAGAGAGAGAGAGAGAGAGGAGUAAUGAGAGGUAGCGGUGUUGAAAGGUUGUGGUGGUGAGAAGGGGUUGUGGCGGUGGCGGUGAUGGUGACGGUAGCUAUGAUAGUGGGAGGCAACAGCUUUGUGUAUGUUCGGGUGUGUGAAAAAUCACUAUUCUUCCACAAUCACAAACCCUAACUUCCGAUUCUCAUUCGAUCCGCAACCAGUAAAUUGACUGAAACUGAAACGUUAAGAGUGAGAGCAUCACUGCUAUCAUUGUUCGAUUCACCUUCGUUCUGUUCCGAACUCUUUGUCUGAUUUGUUGAGGUGUGAUGUGGUCCGAUUUGACUCAGGAUCAUGAAGAAUCAGAUGCAAAAUUCAAGUUUCUUGAGAAGCAUCUUCAAUAGGUGAGUUUCUUUAUUAACUCGGGUCAUAUUCCUAUUAGAUAUUGUUGUUUUGAGUUUAAUAUGCUAGCGUUAACAAAAAACCUAAUAACAAUCAGACUAAUGGUGGGUAUGCGCCCACAAUUGUAUGGCUCGAUUCAUUCUAAUGUGUUUGUUUCCUUACCACUGCAAAAUCAAGUUGCGCCACAAAGAAGGCGCGUGAAGAAUGAUCUCAUAUAAAACUGCUUUUUGGAUGGCUGCAGCCCAGGAACACUAUGCAACUGAACGCCUUAAAUAAGCUGGAUCACCUAUCGCCAUCGUCUUCCCGAAACAUACACUCGGAAAACAACUUUUGUACAACUUAUCCACGGAAAUAUUUUGUACAGACUUGGUAGGUAAGGGUAGGCGAUGUGAAUGUACUGUGAUAUAUAACUGCUCCCCGCAGCAUCGCGGCGGGUGGUAAA